rnacentral:rRNA from 1 species
CCCAAGAGAUCGGGAUAACACCUGGAAACAGAUGCUAAUACCGGAUAACAACAGAUGAUGCCUAUCAACUGUUUAAAAGUAAUGGUUCUGCUAUCACUCUUGGAUGGACCUGCGGUGCAUUAGCUAGUUGGUAGGGUAACGGCCUACCAAGGCGAUGAUGCAUAGCCGAGUUGAGAGACUGAUCGGCCACAUUGGGACUGAGACACGGCCCAAACUCCUACGGGAGGCAGCAGCC